rnacentral:lncRNA from 1 species
AAUCUCAUUAGAGCAGAAUUUUUGCACAACAAAGCUCAAGAACAUAAAUUUCGUAAGCUUUUCUUUUCUUUUUCUUUUUAUUUUAUUAUACCAUAAUUAUGUUUAUUUUGAUCCAUACAAGGCCAACCUCAUGGCCAUAUAAUCUGUACUAUACCCAGCAACUUGGCGCAAACGGAUCUCGGAAUCUAGGCCUAACGAGUAAUACGCGGAAAGGUAACCUGGACACUACGUGACGACCCCCUUUGUGUUAGCUGCUUGUGAAGUUUAUGUGCGAUACUAUGUGGAUAGAGGCAUGCUACUUAGCUAAAUAAAACGGUUCAUGAAAACUUGCGUAGUAUCUAGCUAAAAUAUGCAACAGUAAUGUGUAAUAGCGAUACGUAAAACAAUGAUGUAUCAUAUUGUUUAAUUAAUGUUUAAUAGAGUAUCUU